rnacentral:rRNA from 1 species
UGGGGAAUAUUGGGCAAUGGGCGAAAGCCUUACCCAGCAACGCCGCGUGAAGGAAGAAGUAUCUCGGUAUGUAAACUUCUAUCAGCAGGGAAGACAAUGACGGUACCUGACUAAGAAGCCCCGGCUAACUACGUGCCAGCAGCCGCGGUAAUACGUAGGGGGCAAGCGUUAUCCGGAAUUAUUGGGCGUAAAGGGCGCGUAGACGGCCGAGUAAGUUAUAGGUGAAAGCCCAUCUUUCAAGGAUGGAAUUGCCUGUAAUACUGCUUGGCUUGAGUGCAGGAGAGGGAAGCGGAAUUCCUAGUGUAGCGGUGAAAUGCGUAGAUAUCACGCAGAACUCCGAUUGCGAAGGCAGCAUACCGGCGCUCAACUGACGCUCAUGCACGAAAGCGUGGGUAUCGAACAGGAUUAGAUACC